GCCAGCCCAGUCCCGCUCGUCUGACCCCAGGGCAUGCCUCCUCCUUAAUUCCUGUCCUCAGGCUUGUUCGUUCCUGUGCCUCUGUAUGUCGUCCCAUCCACAAGCUCACGUCCGUGAGGCCCUCUGAGGAUACCCUGUUCCUGCUGGAUCCCCGACAGAGUCCCCCUCGCUGCUCUUCAGUUUCUUCAGCGGUACAAUGCGGAUGGUAACGGUCCCUCACCGGGUUGUACGAGGACACGAAGAAAGAACAGAGCACUAUCUACAGGAUGAAGGAUCCUCUGCCC